rnacentral:rRNA from 1 species
UACGUAGGCAGCGAGCGUUGUUCGGAGUUACUGGGCGUAAAGGGUGUGUAGGCGGUUGUUUAAGUUUGGUGUGAAAUCUCCCGGCUCAACCGGGAGGGUGCGCCGAAUACUGAAUGACUUGGAGUGCGGGAGAGGAAAGUGGAAUUCCUGGUGUAGCGGUGAAAUGCGUAGAUAUCAGGAGGAACACCGGUGGUGUAGACGGCUUUCUGGACCGUAACUGACGCUGAGACACGAAAGCGUGGGUAGCAAACAGG